UGUGUGUGUGUGUGUGUGUGUGUGUGUGUGUGUGUGUGUGUGUUGGCAUUCAUCACGUCCUGGGGACAACAAACUGUUUACACAGUCACGUCAUGGGGACCUCUAACAGUAUGGGGACGAAAAAUGAGGUCCCCUAAAGGGAAACUCUUUUAAAUGAAUGCAGGAGUCUAUCUGAAGGUGCCUGUGUGGUUUUUAGCUUUGGCCCAUUGGGCAUGUUUUCCAGUUAGUGUGUGUGUGUGAACGGGGCAUGCUUGCGCCCCCUUACUGUAUGAGCUGGUAAGGCAAUCAACCGUUCCACACACACAGAUCUUCCAAAUAUGGUAUGUUACCGCCCACUUCCUGGUCCCCAUUAAGAAGGAUUUUAGGAGCAAACACAAUUUUCAGUGUUUAAAGGGAGCAUCGCAAAGGCUCUUCAAUUAAAGAUGUUUGUCACAUAAAAAGAGGAACUACAACACCACAAGGUAAGCAAUAUUAUCUUAUUUACUUACUUGCUAUAAUCAUUAUUUGUAUAGAUGACCAUUUUAAACCACUAAUGAGGUUAAUUAGUGUUAAUUAGUUAGUAGGAUAGCUAGUUAGCUUUAAUUAGCAACAGAAGGCUAGUGUAACUAGCAAAUUUACAAUGUUUUACUAACAAUGUUUUUAGCUUUCCCUGAAAGCUACUGUUAGUUGUUACAUGAUGGAUGGAUUCUGUGCAUUUCUAGGAGUUUAUACCAACUAAAAAAAGUGAAAUAUUUUUCAGUGUGUAACAGAGAAAUUUAAAAUACAUUUCCAGGUAAUGAAUUUAGUAAUAUAUAGAGGUGUAACUUAAUCCUAGGUAUAUAUAGGUUAGAUAUAUUAUAGAAAAAUUGUAAAGAGAUGUUUUGAUGAUUUAAAGCAAGCUGUCCAUGUUAAGAGAAAGUGCAUCUGGACAGGUAUUUUUGGGACCUGAGCUUGACAAGGCUGCAAUUUGAUGUUUGUAUCUUUAAAGUGACUAGUGAAGUGAUUCCACAUGCCUCCUCUACAUAAAUGGGUCCUGAUUGAUUUUACUACCUGAAAAAAGUAAACUUAGCUUACUUAUAAUUAUUAAUAUUAUUUUAUUAUUAAAAAUGAAUAAUUUAGAAUAGGGCAUGGCAAGAAGGGAAGGCAUCUGACACUGAGCCGACAGGAAAGGGCGAGUAUGGGGAAAAAAGUUAUAGAGCUAAGCCUCUGAACACCCACACAGUUUUUUCAGUUUAUCUUGCUGAUUAUUAGUCUUCUUGGGACUGUAUGGGUGUGUAUACUGUGAUUGAUUGACAUCUUCCUGAGUCUUCUGUCAGCUUUGUUACACCUGUUAGGGCAGGACAAAAUAUACCUUCACCAUUCGUAUUGGAGAUUUAGAUUUGUGACCUCAUGGAGUUUCAUCAAAGCUUAAGCCCACCCUAAACCUGAGCAGAGGUCUAAUCAGCCAUAAUAACUGAAAACACCUGUGUGGAUGUUCACUUAGAGCCUCUAAUUGUAUUGUAAUAGAACUAAAGCCAAAGCUGUCUCAUUAAACAUUUCUCUGCAGUUUUAAAUGCCACCAAGGUCAGUCCUCUUAAGGAUGCCCUUCAGCAUGUUCACUUCAUAUACAUAUUGAAAAUGAUUUUGAGACAUUUAAUUGCAAAACUUCAGGAUGCAUUAGAUAAGCUUAGGUCAAUAAAGCUGCCAUCAAAUGCACUAAUAAUUGGCAAUUGUGUUUUUAGGACAUAUUGCCACAGACUAAUUAACAUUCGUAAUGUCCUGUUUUUUUUGAAAAUGUAUUACUUUGUCUUACAGAACGUGGUGUAUUUGCCCUAUCUUCAUUCUUCAAAGGAGAUUUUGUACUGGAAUACAGAGGAGACAUGAUAGAUGAUGCAGAAUCUCAAAGGAGAAGGUGCAUUUAUCACUCAUCAUGUGUUGCAUUCAUGCUUCAUUCAAGUGGAGAGGGAGAACAUGGUGAUGACCAUGAAUGCAGCUGAUGCUGUCAUUCCUGUGGAAAGCUCCCACCAUGCUGUCUUGUUAGAGACGCAGAUGACUGAAACUUUGAGUCCAUGAGACACUAAUCAACAGAUGACCAUGAAUGCAGCUGAUGCUGUCAUUCCUGUGGAAAGCUCCCAGCAUGCUGUCUUGUUAGAGACGCAGAUGACUGAAACUUUGAGUCCAUGAGACACUAAUCAACAGAUGACCAUGAAUGCAGCUGAUGCUGUCAUUCCUGUGGAAAGCUCCCAGCAUGCUGUCUUGUUAGAGACGCAGAUGACUGAAACUUUGAGUCCAUGAGACACUAAUCAACAGAUGAAAGGCACAGAUGUUGAAGAUUCAAAUGAAGUAUCCGACUCUAUAUAAGUUUGUAUUGUUGCUUUCAGUUUUGUCUUGAGAGAACGCAAAUGAGCAGGACUCAAUAAAAAGUUUAAAUGUAUAAUUUAAAUGAGAGUUUGACUUCUUGAACUAAGGAAAUUAUUUUUUACUAUGAAGUAAUGCAGCAAACAACACAGACAAACAUGAAUACUAGUUUUAGGGUUGUUGAGUAUUCUGUGACUGAGAAGUACAAUAUUCCACAGUUUCUGGGUAGUUGACUGUGGUUAAAAAUAAGAACCAUGUGAGACGUAAACGAAGAAAACCCUUACAGUGAAAUUAAGGUUGAAAAGUUUGAUGGGUGAGACAACAAUUUAGUAAUUCACUACUAAAUUCUUGGUACUUAAGUGACCCCUGAUAUCAAGAUUAAGUUAGAACAAUGUCUCUAGUAUAAAUGAUAUGUAAAUCAUUUGAUUCCCAUUUUAUUUGUAUAACAAAUUGUAUGUUUACCCUGUUUUCGCUAUAAAUAAAAACUAAAAAAGUA